GAUGAACGCUGGCGGCGUGCCUAAUACAUGCAAGUCGAGCGAACAGACGAGGAGCUUGCUCCUUCGACGUUAGCGGCGGACGGGUGAGUAACACGUAGGUAACCUACCUAUAAGACUGGGAUAACUUCGGGAAACCGGAGCUAAUACCGGAUAAUAUUUCGAACCGCAUGGUUCGAUUGUGAAAGAUGGCUUUGCUAUCACUUAUAGAUGGACCUGCGCCGUAUUAGCUAGUUGGUAAGGUAACGGCUUACCAAGGCAACGAUACGUAGCCGACCUGAGAGGGUGAUCGGCCACACUGGAACUGAGACACGGUCCAGACUCCUACGGGAGGCAGCAGUAGGGAAUCUUCCGCAAUGGGCGAAAGCCUGACGGAGCAACGCCGCGUGAGUGAUGAAGGUCUUCGGAUCGUAAAACUCUGUUAUUAGGGAAGAACAAACGUGUAAGUAACUGUGCACGUCUUGACGGUACCUAAUCAGAAAGCCACGGCUAACUACGUG
rnacentral:rRNA from 1 species